GAUAGAGAGAGACUAAUGUGUGUGAGAGAGAAACUCCUUCCCACAAUCCGACCUCCUCUUUCCCGUGACCGAUUUCGAUGAAGGCCCGGUCCUCCAGCAGCCUCUCUUCCCCCUCUCACUUCAGGUUGUGCAACUGCGUUUCAGGCAUCGUGUGACGACAAAGGCCGUGUCCGGGAACCAAGGCGAGCAACAACUGUAAAUCCUCUUGUGGCUUCAUCGGAAAACGCGUCGUCAGUUGAGCCGUGUUUUUAAGUUUUUUUCCAACCUCUAACCUAGAUGUUAGAGAGAGAAAAAAACCAACUGGAGGGUUUCUCCGGCGAGAGUCCGGCUACCGGUGAGAGUAGUGGCGUGUGGUGUUGGUGGCUAUGAACUAAGGUAGGAAGCAACAUUGUUCAUGCUGUCCAGUUCCAGCAACAAAAGGAACCGCUCAAAAGGUCAAUACUGGAAUUUGGGUGAUCUAGUGCUAUAAAAUUGUGUAAGAUGGAGGGUGUCGGUGGUAUGUGUAUGUAAGACAAAAUCGAAGAGAUUGUCGGUGGCAAAAGCCACCGACUUUGUAAUUUAAGAUAUAGUAUAAUAAUAGUCUGUAUCUUCAAUCUAGAUUUAAGUAUUCGUAUAC
rnacentral:lncRNA from 1 species